rnacentral:misc_RNA from 1 species
CGCACCUUGCGCUCUUUGGUAUUCCGAAGAGCAUGCCUGUUUGAGUGUCAUGAAAUCAUCAACCAGCAGAGCCCUUUGUGGCUUUUGCAGGCUUGGAUUUGAAGGCUUGUCGGCUUUGUCGGCUCCUUUUAAAUGCAUUAGCUCGAGUCCUUGUGGAUCGGCUUCCGGUGUGAUAAUUGUCUACGCCGUGGCCGUGAAGCGUUAUGGCGAGCUUCUAGUCGUCCUGUCAAUGGGACAUUACAUUUGACCUCUGACCUCAAAUCAGGUAGGACUACCCGCUGAACUUAA